AGCAGUAGCCGCGGGAAUACGUAGGGUGCAAGCGUUAAUCGGAAUUACUGGGCGUAAAGCGUGCGCAGGCGGUUCUAUAAGACAGAUGUGAAAUCCCCGGGCUUAACCUGGGAACUGCGCUUGUGACUGCACAGCUAGAGUAUGGCAGAGGGGGGUGGAAUUCCACGUGUAGCAGUGAAAUGCGUAGAGAUGUGGAGGAACACCGAUGGCGAAGGCAGCCCCCUGGGCCAAUACUGACGCUCAUGCACGAAAGCGUGGGGAGCAAACAGGAUUAGAUACCCCUGUAGUCCCUGUCUCUUAUAC
rnacentral:rRNA from 1 species